rnacentral:sRNA from 1 species
UGGAAUUGUCGUGUGAAGGACUGCAAGAAAAAAUCGAGUUCAAAUAACAAUCGAUUGGAAUUGAUAUGGAGGCACAGCCCUAAUCGUAUAUCGCACAAACAGCACUCGAGGGAAAUAGCAGAAUGUGUCUAAGAGACAACGGUAAUUGGAUAUCGCACAGACAGGAAAAACUGGAAUAAGUGUAGGGACAUCGAGAAAAUCGUAUAUAGCACAGAGAGGAAAUACAGGUAUUUUUGUACGGAAAUCGUGAAGGAGCCAACGGUAAUCGGAUAUCGCACAGUUGGCACUUUUGG